rnacentral:rRNA from 1 species
GACGAACGCUGGCGGCGUGCUUAACACAUGCAAGUCGAACGGAAAGGCCCUGCUUUUGUGGGGUGCUCGAGUGGCGAACGGGUGAGGAACACGUGAGUAGCCUGCCCUUGACUUUGGGAUAACUUCAGGAAACUGGGGCUAAUACCAGAUAGGAGCUCCUGCUGCAUGGGGGGGGUUGGAAAGUUUCGGCGGUUGGGGAUGGACGCGCGGCGUAUCAGGUUGUUGGUGGGGUAGUGGCGUACCAAGGCUUUGACGGGUAGCCGGCCUGAGAGGGUUACCGGCCCCGUUGGGACUGAGAUGCGGCCCAGACUCCUACGGGAGGCAACAGUGGGGAAUAGCGCACAGCGGGCGGAAGCCUGAUGCAGCAACGCCGCGUGCGGGAUGACCGCCUUCGGGUUGUAAACCGCUUUCGCCUGUGACGAAGCGUGAGUGACGGUAAUGGGUAAAGAAGCACCGGCUAACUACGUG